UGCGUAGGUGGUCUUAUAAGUCAGAUGUGAAAGCUCCCAGCUUAACUGGGAAAUUGCAUUUGAUACUGUAGGACUUGAAUUAUGUUGAGGUUAGCGGAAUGAGUCAUGUAGCGGUGAAAUGCAUAGAUAUGACUUAGAACACCAAUUGCGAAGGCAGCUAGCUAGGCAUAUAUUGACGCUGAGGCACGAAAGCAUGGGGAGCGAACAGGAUUAGAUACCCUGGUAGUCC
rnacentral:rRNA from 1 species